UACGAAGGGGGCUAGCGUUGCUCGGAAUUACUGGGCGUAAAGCGCACGUAGGCGGUCUUUUAAGUCGGGGGUGAAAUCCUGGAGCUCAACUCCAGAACUGCCUUCGAUACUGGAAGACUCGAGUCCGGGAGAGGUGAGUGGAACUGCGAGUGUAGAGGUGAAAUUCGUAGAUAUUCGCAAGAACACCAGUGGCGAAGGCGGCCCACUGGCCCGGUACUGACGCUGAGGUGCGAAAGCGUGGGGAGCAAACAGGG
rnacentral:rRNA from 1 species